CAGCGCUCCCAGCUCCAGCCCCCAUGCCGCCUCCACCUCAGCCAUCGGCCAUCGCUGGGGCACCGCCAAGACCCCAGAACCACAGCAGGCGGCUUUCCGGCUGACGCCUCAUGCUGUGCAGACACCACCGCAAACACAGGAGCCCAGAGGCGGUUUCUCCCCAGACGCAGACAGCUCCACUUCGAAAUGAAAGGCACUCCUGGCAGCAUUGGCUUCCUGCAGAGAAAAUGGAGCCACCAGCUUCCCACGAUGGAAAGAUAACAUGCACCCCAGUGUUCACGGAAGCACUGUUCACCAGAGCCAAGACAUGGAAGCAGAGUAAAUGGCCAUCAGCAAGUGAAAAAGAUGUGCUGCGUAUAUACAGUGGGAUAUCACUCAGCCAAGAGGGAAGCAACGCCAUCUGCAGCAACAUGGACGGCCCUGGAGGUGAUCACACUAAGCGAAGGCAGAGACAGAUGUCGUAUGCUGGUACUGGAGGACAAGGCUGGACAUGAAGGUCCCCAGGGCUUGCUCCCAGGUACCCAGCAAAGCCCGCUCCAUUCUCUCUGGUCUCUGAAACCUGGCACACCAGGCAAGUAUUCUUCCUGUUUGUACGUUUCUAAAAGGUUAAAUUCCAACCUUGUUGAAAGUACUUCAUAAUGAAACCUGAUUAAAAACCUAAUGAAAUAUAAAAUAGGGUCAAGUCCAGAGAGAGAAAACUGUUUAAGAACCAGAGGAAGCUCUACUUAAUUUUGUUGUUAAGCUGGUGAGUUCAUUCGAGGUUUGCACAGUUACCUUCAGAGGUCAGUGCUUCUGGGAACAGCAGGGUUUAGGAAGGAAGUUUCCUGAGGAAGUAUUUAAUGUCAAAUAGCGCCAUGGUUCUCAAAGUGGGGUUUACCUUCAGAGGUCAGCAGCACCUGGGAACUUGUUAGACACACACAUCCCCUCCACGUGCCCACAGCCCUGCUGAAUCAGAAAUCCUGAGGGGAGACCCUACAACCUAUAUGUUAAUAAGCCCUCCAGGAGAUUCCGAAGUGCCUCAAGUUUGAGAACCACUGAAAUACGUAAAAGGGGGGAAAAAACCCUUUUGUUACCAAAUGUAAAAAGGGCAAGGUUGUGGAAUACCCACAGUCCAUUCAGAGCAGUGUGAGAAGCAUAGGGUAUUUACUGUGAGAAAUGGAAUAUUUCUUGA